rnacentral:rRNA from 1 species
GACGAACGCUGGCGGCGUGCUUAACACAUGCAAGUCGAACGGAAAGGCCCUGCUUUUGUUGGUUGCUCGAUUGGCGAACGGGUGAGUAACACGUGAGUAACCUGCCCUUGACUUUGUGAUAACUUCAGGAAACUGGGGCUAAUACCGGAUAGGAUCUCCUGCUGCAUGGUGGGGGUUGGAAAGUUUCGGCGGUUGGGGAUGGACUCGCGGCUUAUCAGCUUGUUGGUGGGGUAGUGGCUUACCAAGGCUUUGACGGGUAGCCGGCCUGAGAGGGUUACCGGCGACAUUGGGACUGAGAUAAGGACCAGAAUCCUACGGGAGGCAGCAGUGGGGAAUAUUGCACAAUGGGCGGAAGCCUGAUGCAGCAACGCCGCGUGCGGGAUGCCGGCCUUCGGGUUGUAAACCACUUUCGCCUGUGACGAAGCGUGAGUGACGGUAAUGGGUAAAGAAGCACCGGCUAACUACGUG